GUACAGUUCACUUUAUGAAGCAAUAGAAUGUUCACAGUUGUUUUUCAUUCAGCUUUCAGAUUUCCAUUCAAUGUUACAAUGUAGUCUCAACAACUGGUAGGUAGCUGUUAUUAAAAUGAAAAAAUAUGAUCCUUCCCUCUGCCCUGAAAUGAACACUUUAUAUCAUACUUAUUGUUAUGGGAGCAACCAUUGUUUCUUAGUAUGGGCUGUUGCAUGGCAGAGUAACAAACCUACUUCCAUACAAAGUAACAAAACUACUGCCAUACAAAGUAACAAGACCACUUCAAUGCUAAGUAACAAAACCACUUCCCUACAAAGUAACAAGACAUUUUCCAUGCAUAGUUAUUGUGAUAGAAUUUAUCUUGAUUCCAAGGCUCAAGCUUAUAGGUGUAUAAUAUAGCUUAUAGCUUACCUUGGGCAUACAGGGAAUCUUUUCCCUUCUUGUACUGAGUCACUUUAUGUGGCUUAUGACGCCCACAUUUCUUGCAGUAGGUCCGACGUGUCUUUGGAACAUUAACCAUCUUGGCCUACCGCGUAGCCACUGAUAUUGGUUUAGAUAACCCGGUGACCAUAUACACACCGCAUGAUAUCAACAGCAUACUGUCACAAGUUCAACCAAAACACAUACAUACUGCAAGGCAUCUUAGAAUGCAAUGUGCCUUGCUUAUGCCACCUAAUGUUACUCUUAAAAGGUGUAUGGUGUUAAAUCCAUCUACAUUGCUUCCCCUGGAUUUAAAAGAGGGGAGUGGGGAUAGUGGGAAUGGUACUUGUACAUCUGAUCUUUUUGUAAAUUCACUUUCACCAGAUGAGUUAGCUGAUGCACAGGUACCCCAUGAUUGUGCAGCACUAAUGGCACAAGAAACAGCAG